rnacentral:rRNA from 1 species
AUGCACACCAUCGCGGAGGCCACCGGCGGCACGUUCGCCUUCAUCGAGAACGAGGCCGUCAUCCAGGACUCGUUCGCGCAGUGCAUCGGCGGGCUUCUCUCGGUCGCCGCGCAGGAGGCGCGCGUCGCCGUCGAGUGCGUCUGCCCCGGCGUUCGCGUUCGGUCCAUCAAGUCGGGGCGCUACAAGAGCCGCGUCGAUGCCGACGGGCGCGCCGCCGCGGUGGAAGUCGGGGAGCUAUACGCCGACGAGGAAAGGCGCUUCCUGCUGCUAGUGGACGUGCCGGCGGCCGGCGCCACGGACGACGUGACA